CUUGAUAAGAUAUCUUGCUUCUCUUGGAACCGUCGUUAUCUUAAAGAGUAUACUCCAUUUUAAACCUUGUCUUUGUGAAUGUCACCUCUGAAUCCCUGAAAUUGGCACUUAUACUCUUGAUCCCGGUCAAUAGGCUCUAAAAUGUGUUUUCCAAACAAACAUGGAUUGUUCACGUGGCACCAUGGGACCCACACAUCAGUGACACCACAUAUAUCUUCGUCCUCCUUCCAUUCUUCCCCAAAUCCAGCCUGCAACUCCCUGCUCCUCCCAUCGAUGCUCGCUAGCCCGCAGCUCCCUGUCGUCCCGCCGAUGCCUGCUGACCUGCUCACACCCCCCACCCUGCUGCUGCUCCCAGGCGCUCAUGCCCUCCCGCCCUGUCCUGCGGCCGCUCCCGUGCGCUCCCGCGCCGCCUUGCCGGAGCGGAGAGGGCUUCACCGGCGGCGACCGGCCUGAUCUCCCCUCCGACCCUCUCGCCCGCGCAUGCGCCUGCUUCGUCGACGAGCAGACGGCGACCAAGCGCGGGGGAAGUUGGCGACGGAGGCGAACCUGAAGCUCCCGGAGGAGCAGCCAGCUGCCAGAGCCGGAGGGGAAGAAGAUAAGAAUCAGAGGCGACGUCGUCAGAUCCCUCUACAUCGCCAUCAGCUCGUUUGAGAAGAUGGCCGGGGUGCGGCUGCAUUGCGGAGGAGGACCGAGGCAAAGCAUUGCCGACGGCGGCAGGAAUGUCGUGGGACAAUGACCUUGUCUUUGGUGUUCAUGGCUUGGGGCCGGCUGGGUUCCCUCGCGUCACCCACUGGCAGCACCGGCGUGUUCAUGGACGCGCUGCCGAACGCCGUGAAGCACUUCCAUUUUGCGACCGAGCCAUCUAGCGGCAAUAACUCAAAUCCCAGCCUCUGUCUCGCCACAUCAGUAAAUCCAGCCCGCAACUCCUAUUUCAUCCUCUGUAGACCGGGAUUUAAGAGUAUAGGGUGUCAAUUUCAGGAAUUUGGAAAUCAAGAUUUGAUAUUUCCAACCUCUA